UGCCUACGGGAGGCUGCAGUGGGGAAUUUUGGACAAUGGGGGCAACCCUGAUCCAGCAAUGCCGCGUGCAGGAAGAAGGCCUUCGGGUUGUAAACUGCUUUUGUACGGAACGAAACGGCUCUGGUUAAUACCCAGGGCUAAUGACGGUACCGUAAGAAUAAGCACCGGCUAACUACGUGCCAGCAGCCGCGGUAAUACGUAGGGUGCGAGCGUUAAUCGGAAUUACUGGGCGUAAAGCGUGCGCAGGCGGUGCUGUAAGACAGGCGUGAAAUCCCCGGGCUCAACCUGGGAAUGGCGCUUGUGACGGCAGGGCUGGAGUGCGGCAGAGGGGGAUGGAAUUCCGCGUGUAGCAGUGAAAUGCGUAGAUAUGCGGAGGAACACCGAUGGCGAAGGCAAUCCCCUGGGCCUGCACUGACGCUCAUGCACGAAAGCGUGGGGAGCAAACAGGAUUAGAUACCCCAGUAGUC
rnacentral:rRNA from 1 species